rnacentral:rRNA from 1 species
UAGGGAAUUGUUCGCAAUGGGCGCAAGCCUGACGACGCAACGCCGCGUGGAGGAUGAAGGUCUUCGGAUUGUAAACUCCUGUCGUGUGGGACGAACACUUACCGGGCUAAUCACCGGUGAGCUGACGGUACCACGAAAGGAAGCCCCGGCUAACUCUGUGCCAGCAGCCGCGGUAAUACAGAGGGGGCGAGCGUUGUUCGGAAUUACUGGGCGUAAAGGGCGCGUAGGCGGCCAACUAAGUCAGACGUGAAAUCCCUCGGCUCAACCGGGGAACUGCGUCUGAUACUGGAUGGCUUGAAUUCGGGAGAGGGAUGCGGAAUUCCAGGUGUAGCGGUGAAAUGCGUAGAUAUCUGGAGGAACACCGGUGGCGAAGGCGGCAUCCUGGACCGAGAUUGACGCUGAUGCGCGAAAGCCAGGGGAGCAAACGG